rnacentral:tRNA from 1 species
GCCAGAUCAGCUCGGUGGUGGAGCAGUUGAUUCGUAAUCAUCAGGUCCGGGGUUCAAAUCCCCGAGCUGGCUCCA